UGGUUAAGCGACAAAGGGCGUACGGUGGAUGCCUGGGCGUCUGCUAGCGAUGAAGGACGUAGAAGGCUGCGAUAAGCCACGGGGAGCCGCCAAACAGGCCUUGAUCCGUGGAUUUCCGAAUGGGGAAACCCGGCUGACCAAAAGUCAGUCAUCCUCCGCUGAACACAUAGGCGGAAGGAAGCGAACGCGGGGAACUGAAACAUCUAAGUACCCGCAGGAAGAGAAAUCAAUUGAGAUACCCCUAGUAGCGGCGAGCGAACGGGGUAGAGCCUAAACCGACUGUGUGUAAGGUUACAGCCGUUGCAUGGUCGGGGUUGUGGGGCUCUCUUUGCACUCUCUGUAAGGAGUGCGGCGAGUAAGAAACUGAAUCGAUAGUCGAAGACCUUGGAAAGGGUCACCGUAGAGGGUAAUGGUCCCGUAGACGAAAUCAAUUCAGCUCGCUUAGAGAGUUCCCGAGUACGGUGGGACACGAGAAAUCCUGCCGGAAUCUGGGUGGACCAUCAUCCAAGGCUAAAUAUACGCAGACGACCGAUAGCGAACCAGUACCGUAAGGGAAAGGUGAAAAGAACCCCUUUAAGGGGAGUGAAAUAGAACCUGAAACCGUAUGCCUACAAGCAGUGGGAGCCCUAUGGCCUUGGCCAGGGUGACCGCGUGCCUUUUGCAUAAUGAGUCAGCGAGUUAUGCUACGCAGCAAGGUUAAGUCGAAUAGACGCAGCCGCAGGGAAACCGAGUCUGAAUAGGGCGAUAUAGUUGCGUGGUGUAGACCCGAAACCGAGUGAGCUACCCAUGGCCAGGUUGAAGUUCCGGUAAAACGGGAUGAAGGACCGAACCCACUGAUGUUGAAAAAUCAGGGGAUGAGCUGUGGGUAGGGGUGAAAGGCCAAUCAAACUCGGAGAUAGCUGGUUCUCCCCGAAAUAUAUUUAGGUAUAGCCUCGGGAGAUAUCACUGACGGAGGUAGAGCACUGAAUGGGCUAGGGGCCUAACCCGGUUACCAACCCCAAUCAAACUCCGAAUGCCGUUAUGUGUUAUCCCGGGAGUCAGUCUGCGGGUGAUAAGGUCCGUAGACGAGAGGGAAACAACCCAGACCGCCAGCUAAGGUCCCUAAAUGACAGUUAAGUGGUAAAGGAUGUGGAAGCACACAGACAACCAGGAGGUUGGCUUAGAAGCAGCCACCCUUGAAAGAAAGCGUAAUAGCUCACUGGUCAAGUGAAUCUGCGCCGAAAAUACAACGGGGCUUAAACUGUCUACCGAAGCUGCGGAUUCUGCACUUAAGUGCAGAGUGGUAGGGGAGCAUUCCAAUCGCCGUUGAAGGUGCACCGCGAGGAGCGCUGGAGGUUUUGGAAGAGCGUAUGCUGACGUGAGUAACGACAAGACGGGUGAGAAUCCCGUCCGCCGAAAGCCUAAGGAUUCCUGGGCCAGGUUCAUCCUCCCAGGGUUAGUCGGGACCUAAGACGAGGCCGAGAGGCGUAGUCGAUGGAAAACAGGCAAACAUUCCUGUACCUCUUUGUAACAUGGUGAUGGUGAGGAAGGACGGAGAACGCUAGGUCCGCCGGACUGAUGGAUGUCCGGUACAACCCGGUAGGCGGGUCAGAUAGGAGGUGUUCGCACCACAAACGUCUGACCAUUCAAACGCUGAGAGGGAAAGUGGAGAGUCCCCCCAUUUUGGGGACUCAAGUCAACGGAUCGAUGCGCAGCUUCCAAGAAAAGUUUCGCACCGGAGUGUAUAAAGAGCCCGUACCAAAACCGACACAGGUAGGCGAGAAGAGCAUUCUAAGGCGUUGAGAUAACCCUGGUUAAGGAACUCGGCAAAUUGACACCGUAACUUCGGGAGAAGGUGUGCCCCGUUAAAGUGAAGAGCCUUGCGCUUGGAGCUGGAAGGGGUUGCAGAGAAUAGGGGGUAGCGACUGUUUAUCAAAAACACAGGACUCUGCGAAAUCGUGAAGAUGACGUAUAGGGUCUGACGCCUGCCCGGUGCCGGAAGGUUAAGGGGAGUGGUUAGCUGUAAAGCGAAGCUGCGAACCGAAGCCCCGGUAAACGGCGGCCGUAACUAUAACGGUCCUAAGGUAGCGAAAUUCCUUGGCGGGUAAGUUCCGUCCUGCACGAAUGGCGUAACGACUUCCCCACUGUCUCAACCAGGGACUCAGUGAAAUCGAAUUAGCGGUGAAGAUGCCGUUUACCCGCGACAAGACGGAAAGACCCCGUGAACCUUUACUGCAACUUGGCAUUGGUACUCGGACGCAUCUGUGUAGGAUAGGUGGGAGACUGAGAAGUCGGUGCGCCAGCAUCGGUGGAGUCACCCUUGAAAUACCACCCUGGUGCGUCUGGGUAUCUAACCUGCAUCCCUUAUCGGGAUGAGGGACACUGUCUGGUGGGCAGUUUGACUGGGGCGGUCGCCUCCCAAAGUGUAACGGAGGCGCGCAAAGGUCCGCUCAGGCUGAUUGGAAACCAGCCGAAGAGUGCAAAAGCAUAAGCGGGCUUGACUGCGAGACAAACAGGUCGAGCAGGUGCGAAAGCAGGCUUUAGUGAUCCGGUGGUCCCGCAUGGAAGGGCCAUCGCUCAACGGAUAAAAGGUACUCCGGGGAUAACAGGCUUAUCUCCCCCAAGAGUUCACAUCGACGGGGAGGUUUGGCACCUCGAUGUCGGCUCAUCACAUCCUGGGGCUGGAGUAGGUCCCAAGGGUUUGGCUGUUCGCCAAUUAAAGUGGUACGCGAGCUGGGUUCAGAACGUCGUGAGACAGUUCGGUCCCUAUCUGUCGUGGGCGAAGGAGAAUUGAGAGGAACUGCCCCUAGUACGAGAGGACCGGGGUGGACGUACCGCUGGUAUACCGGUUGUGGCGCCAGCCGCAUUGCCGGGUAGCUACGUACGGACAGGAUAACCGCUGAAAGCAUCUAAGCGGGAAGCCCCCCUCAAGAUUAGUUCUCCCUUCAGGGUUAACCUGACUUAAGGUCCGUCGAAGACGACGACGUGGAUAGGCGAGAUGUGGAAGCACGGUAACGUGUGUAGCAGACUCGUACUAAUCGACCGGGAGGCUUAACCACUU
rnacentral:rRNA from 1 species